rnacentral:rRNA from 1 species
UACGUAGGUGACCAGCGUUGUCCGGAUUUACUGGGCAUAAAGAGCGCGCAGGCGGUCGUUCAAGUCGAGUGUGAAAGCCCCCGGCUCAACUGGGGAGGGUCACUCGAUACUGAUCGACUUGAAGGCAGGAGAGGGAAGCGGAAUUCCCGGUGUAGUGGUGAAAUGCGUAGAUAUCGGGAGGAACACCAGUGGCGAAGGCGGCUUCCUGGCCUGUUCUUGACGCUGAGGCGCGAAAGCUAGGGGAGCAAACGGG